AAUCAACAUAUAUUUAUUACAAUAUUCAAUUUUCUGAAUAUUCAUUUCAAUAAAUAAAGCAGGUAGAUAAAUAUAGAAAAUAACAAUUACCAACAUAUAAAUUAUAAUUGUUUAAAAUUAUAAACUAAUAAUUUUAAUAUUAUGUAUUAAAUAGGAAAAAAAAUUAUAUAUCAUGCAAAAAAAAAUUGCAUUUUGUUCAAAAAAUGGUUGAGGAUAACUAUCAUGUGAAAAAUGUAUGAAAAAACUUAAAAAGGAUGAAGACACAAUUGUAUGCAAUAUGUGUUUUGAUAAAAAAUUAAAGGAAACAUUAAGGUUUAUAAAAUAUAUAUAUAUAUAUAUAUAUAUAUAUAUAUAUAUUUGAAUACUUUGUAAAUCAUAUUUUAAUCAUCAAAAUUAAAUUUAAUUAUUUAUAUGAUUUAAUUUUUUUAUCAGGCAUAUAAAAUUAUAAAUUAUAGAUUAUAAUAUAUUCUUUAUAAAAUGAGUUUCCGUGCGAUAUCGCACGGGCUCUUUUCCUAGUGGAAUUAAGAGAAGAAAUAAAUUAUAAACCAAUGCUUUUACAAUGUGACAGUUGGAACAAUAAUUGGGGGUGAAUAUUUCAAAUUGAAGAGUCAGGCAUCUUCUCCAACUUCAUGUAGCACUGGGAUAAUUUGCAUAAUUAUGUUACACAAUUAGAAAAUGAUGCAGAGAAUAUUUGAAUAUAGGAAAAACCAUUUAAAUCUUAAAACAAUAGAAGUAAUUAUCCUAUUAAUAAAUAAUAAUAAAAUUUGAAAUAUAUCCAAAUAUUCUCUGCAUUAUCAGAAAACAUGAAUGAAACAAAUGGAAAACCAAUGGUAACACUAUACAGAACAUCUGUAUCUAAAAUCUAGUUCGGUCACGCUAAACUGGAAUGUAACUAACGUGCUGUCAAGGCUGAAUUAGAAGAAACAAAUCCAGACCUUCAUAAAAGAAAAAGGUCCAAACUAAUAAUGUCUGAAUAUAUUUCCUCAGCACCCACGGCAUCUCGUUAUCGGCUCAUGCCAGAUGGCCAUACUACGACCACUAAUUUGUUCAUCAUCACCCUCUUUUUUUUUGAAUCAACUAAAAAAUUUGGACCAUUUCUUGAUUUGUGCAUGUCAUCCUUCGGCAGGGGCCAUGCUAACCUUCUCUAUAUAGUUUCAAUUUUAUCGGAUGUCCUCGAAGGAACACCCUCCUUAUUCUCUCAUUUCCUCUUCUUCUCCUCCUCCUCUGAUCAGCAUCAGCAUCAGCUCAUGAGAUUUACUUGGAAGCAAAACCUAAGAUAUUACAUAGGGUUUCUAGAAACCUUAGCUUCCGGCGCAAGAAAGGAAGCUGCAAAAGCUAGGACCAACCCGGGUCUUGUAGUCAUCUCACGUUUCGGUGUUGCUGGAUUUGUUAACAGUAACGUCGCUAUUGAGUAGUUCGUGUGUUUCGGUGUCGGAGAGAAACAACGAUCAGAAGCUUUGAGAGAGAUACAGAAACAGAGACAAGGAAAUUAAUAAUUAGGGUUUUUUUAUUUAGGUUUAAUACAUUUGAAUGGGGAACACAUGCGUGGGUCCGAAGCUAAACGCUAAUAGAUUUAAUUAACAGGCAACAGGGAUGAGAACAUCACGAAGAAGAGCGUUAACGGCCGCAAUGAAGACGCUUCCUCCGCCUUGGAUCCAGCUCCACCAGCAGUACCAACACCUAGCGCACCACCUCCUCCGGUGAAAAUGGAUGAGGAAGAAGCACCUAAAAGUAUCCUAGAGAGAAAUAACAACGACGUGAGUCCCAAGCCGAAGAAAAAGGCGCACAUGAAACGGAUGGGGGAGGAAGUUAGGUCAAGGACGAUUCGGGACAAGAUUUCUUUGCGUGGAGAAGAAGUCAGGUCAAGAGGUCGCUUGCAAAACGAUCGCUAAGAGGAAACUGACGACCCCUGUUGACGUUGAAGAUGUAAGAAGAGAGAUUCAGAUAGUGCAUCACUUGUCUGAGCACCCUAACGUGAUUCAGAUCGUUGGUGCGUAUGAAGACGCAGUAGCUAUUCAUGUCGUGAUGGAGAUUUGUGCAGGGGUUUUGAAGAAGCAACACUCAAGACUAUUGACUUUGGUCUCUCUGUCUUCUUUAAACCAGGAGAAACAUUCACUCAUGUUGUUGGGGGAGACCUUACUAAGUGGCGUCCCUACGUUGUGGGAUGGUAAGAGAGAAACAGUUUGUGUCAUGUUUUCAAAUGGUUAAGAGACUGAUUGAAUUGUUAUGAUAAUGUCAGAAACGGAACAAGGCAUCUCUGAGCAAGUUUUAAAAGGUGACAUUUGACUUUUGUAUCAGAACCAUGGCCUAGUGUAUCAAAAAGCGCUCAUAAGAUUUGGUUCCUCAGAUGCUGAUCAGUGACCCUAAAGAAGCGAAUCGCAGUU